rnacentral:sRNA from 1 species
CCCACGCCACUAUGCUAUCUCUAACUCUGCCAUCCAGACCGAGCAAACGUACUUAAGACCUUUGUGUAAGAUCAGAAAAUCAUAAGACAGCAUUAAAAGUACUAUACAGGAGGAGAUGGAACAAGAUGGCCAAAUAGAAGCCUCCAGCAAUCAUCUCCCCCAAAGGAAUUGAACAACUAUCAAAACAAAAUUGAACAACUAUCUAAACAAAAAAAGUACCUUCAUAAAAAGCAAAAAUCAGGACAAUAUCAGAAUGGCACAUACAAGUGUCCCCAAGUCAUAUUUGGAAUAAGAUCACUUGGGAACACAAGUCAAAGAAGGACACAGUGUUCUGCCUCUCCUGAGUAAGCAGCAACAAGGCACCAUCUUGGAAUCAGAGGGCAGCCCUCACCAGACAACUAAAUCUGCAGACACCUUGGACUUCCCAGCCUCCAGAACUGAUUUUAAUGCCUUUUGUAAAGACCUGCCUAAUGGUUCUGCCUUCAGUGCAGACAAUAUGGAAGAGUGUGACAGAUGUUAUCAUUGCUCCAUUGUGUACGAGCGUAGGACGAUGCUUCUCUUCUGUCAGCCUGCAACU